GACGAACGCUGGCGGCGUGCUUAACGCAUGCAAGUCGAACGGAGUGCUCAUGACGGAGGAUUCGUCCAACGGAUUGAGUUACUUAGUGGCGGACGGGUGAGUAACGCGUGAGGAACCUGCCUUGGAGUGGGGAAUAACGUUCUGAAAAGAACGCUAAUACCGCAUAACAUACGGAUGUCGCAUGGCAACCGUAUCAAAGAUUUUAUCGCUUGAAGAUGGACUCGCGUCCGGUUAGCCAGUUGGCGGGGUAACGGCCCACCAAAGCGACGAUCGGUAGCCGGACUGAGAGGUUGAACGGCCACAUUGGGACUGAGACACGGCCCAG
rnacentral:rRNA from 1 species